GUGUGAGGGCGGGGUCGGCAAAUGAGAAAGGUGAGGGACAGGGGAGGUCAAGAUGAAGGUGCCAUAGCCAGGGGAAGAAUGCUAAGCUAACGUAUAGGGGGGUGAAGACAGGUGAGGAGAGAAUGAGGUGAUAGUGGAGGAAAAUAGGAGACUGGCAGUAGUUACAACAGACAAAAAUAUCACUUUUCCUGCACAGGAACAGAGUAACAGGCAGAGGAAAAGACUAUUAAUAAGUAAGGGAGAUUUCUAAAGCCCCUUUAAGUAUAGAUCUGAGACAACAGAGACCAACAUGUAACCAGAAAUGAGCCAGCAGUAGAUUCUCCUUUUCCCUCCAUGGAUGUACACACUGAUUUGGACGUCCAAUCAGACACCAGGACUGUGGGCCUUGUCAUAAUAACUACCAUGACAUCACUGCAAGGGAUCGCGGAAAGAAGACAGCGGAGCUCCACACAGGCAGAGAGCAGGGGGGGCUCCGUGGAGCUGCUGCGACGCCGGCCACAGCGCACCGGCUGACGGAUCGAAACCGCGCGGACUACCGGGGGACUUGGUGUGUGUGUGUGGGGGGGGUUGAACAUGGAAGAGGGGUUGCCGCCCGGCUUGGACGUUUUCAUAGCCGGUUUCGGGAGCUCUUUCUCGGGCUCAAGUUGAGGGUUGUCUUUUUGCCGAAGGGAAGCGAGAGGAAAUUACGGAGGAGGUUGAGCGAGAAAAAUGGCAUCUUGUUUUAAUUUGUGCCAAUCACGACGAGAGGAAGACAACUCCCCAAACUGGCAGGACCUAACAGGACGGUGGAAACACAACCGAGAGACCAGGACAAGCUUGAACCGGAUGGCUCAAACUGGAACUGAGGAGCGGCGGCUGCUGUAAUCUCCACUGUUCAAUUAGCUGCACUGACCAGGACGACGCCUCCUACACUUCAUUAACAGGGAGGGGAAGGAGAUGCUGAUGGUGUAACAUGGAGUCAGGAAGGAGCACAAGGGAUGGAGAAUAAACCGGAGCUUGCUGUCAGAAGUGUGAGCCAUGUCCAAGGUGAAGCAAACUGAAUUAAAGUGAAUCGAGCUGAACGGAUCUGAACUGGAAUGACCUGAACUGAAUUGAAAUGAAACCUCUCAGGGGGGGAAAAAGGUUCAAACAGAAAAACCUGAGAGUGACAUGGAUGGAAACAUUGUGUCAUGUAUACCUGCUUUUUUGGGAUUUCCUACACUUUCUUUGGAUUUAAAGGGGUUUUUCAUUAUCAUAUUUGUUUUAAAGAAUGAAUUAAACCUAAAAUCUAUAACAUGAA